UCUCUGGUAGUCCAGUGGCUAAGACUCCAUGCCCCCAAUGCAGAAUGCCCAGGUUCGACCCCUGGUCAGGGAA
rnacentral:tRNA from 1 species